GACGGAGGGUGCUAGCGUUGUUCGGAAUUACUGGGCGUAAAGGGCGCGUAGGCGGCCUGGUCAGUCGGAUGUGAAAGCCCGGGGCUCAACCCCGGAACGGCAUCCGAGACGGCCAGGCUGGAGACCGGGAGAGGAGAGUGGAAUAGCCAGUGUAGAGGUGAAAUUCGUAGAUAUUGGCUGGAACACCGGUGGCGAAAGCGGCUCUCUGGCCCGGUUCUGACGCUGAGGCGCGAAAGCGUGGGGAGCAAACGGG
rnacentral:rRNA from 1 species